ACCUUACAGAUUCCUUGCCCAUCUGAUCUAAAUAUUCGUCUUAGUUGUAUUAAAAGGAGGAAAAGUAACACUUAAAUAGACUUGGAUGCUUUUGUGACACACAAGUUCUUUUUAAGCAAAC
rnacentral:snoRNA from 1 species